CAGCGUGAAAGAAGUUUCAGAUGAACCAGUCAAAUGAUUGAUAAGGAAACUCAAAGUUUGCUCGUCAAUUAUUUUAUUUUAAUUGUUCUUCUUUUAAUUCUUUGGAUACUUUAUAUCGAGGAAAUUUAAAAACUAAAUACAAUAUGAAAGAAGAUGAACAAACCAUUUUUAUGAAAGGGAGGAGUAAGAAGCGUCAGAAACGUAAAUAGUUUUGGAUAUGAGCUUUAGUUUCAGUCGAAACGUAAAAUGGAUGCAGACAAGGAAGCGAAAAGUUUAAUUGUGAAUUAUGUGGUAUUGAUUGUAUUACUAUUGGUACUAUGGGUUCUUUAUAUGGGAAUGUAGAGAUUGAAAACGGGACAUAAAUAAGGAAAAAAACAUAUCAAGUUCAUUUGAAUUCAGAUGAAAAUAUGGAACAAUUUACACCCAGUGCUUUAUUCAUCAAUAAUUUAAGUGUUUCAUAUGUUCGUUAAUGAAAUAUUUAUGUAUAUCUAUCAUGACACAUUUUUUAAAAUUUGAAUCUGGAUAAUAUUGUAGUCAUUUCUCUAAUUUUAAAUGUCAAAAUAGCUUCUUUCAGAAAAAAAAACAUUUAUAAAUUUUUUAUGUUUAAAACUCUUUUGUAUUAAAUAAAUUCUAAUAAGAAUGAUCAAAUAAAUAAUAAAAAUUACAAUUUUUGUAUUUAUGAAAUGAUUAUGAAGGAUUUCUUAAAUGCGAUCAUAAGUAUAAUGUUAACUGAUCAUAUACCUAUUAAAUAAAACAUGUGGCAGUACAUUAAUUGAAAGGUACAGUUGUAAAAAAUGGUUAGUGCCAUUUCCAUUAGUACGUUAAAAUGCGUGCUAACAGCUAAGCAGUGAUGUGUGUAUUUAAAUUUAAAAUGUACUUUUUAACUAUAACGUAAUUAUAUUCUGAUUAAAGUAAAAACAAAAAACUUCUUAAGACGUCUAAUUUUUUCCAUUUUCUCUAUACUUUCAACAUAACGCUUACCAUCUUUUACCUCAGAACCUUUCAAUUACAUGUGAAAUUUAAGGGAAGGAAUUGUGAAAAGUAUAACAUUGUACACGAUGGAAAGGAGGUUGAUACAUUGUCUACAUUGGUAUUUUUUAGUAGUAUUAGUAGCGUAUGAACUUCUUAUAAAGUCUUUGUUUAUUGAUGUAAAGAAUGUUGCUCAAUGUGUACCCCAUUGUUUAGGUGUAAAAUCUGAAGCUGCGGUCUGCUGUUCAGG